rnacentral:rRNA from 1 species
GAUAAACGCUGGCGGCGCACAUAAGACAUGCAAGUUGAACGGACUUAAUCGAAAUAUUUAUAUUUUGAAGCGGUUAGUGGCGGACGGGUGAGUAACGCGGAAGGAACCUGCCUAUGAGAGGGGAAUAACAGGGAGAAAUCAUUGCUAAGACCGCAUAUGCCAUAGAUAUCACAUGAUAACAGUGGGAAAGGAGUAAUCCGCUAAUAGAUGGCCUUGCGUCUGAUUAGAUAGUUGGUGGGGUAACGGCCUACCAAGUCGACGAUCAGUAGCCGGACUGAGAGGUUGGACGCCCACAUUGGGACUGAGCUACGGCCCAGACUCCUCCGGGAGGCAGCAGUCGGGGAUCUUGCGCAAUGGAGGAAACUCUGACGCAGUGACGCCGCGUAUAGGAAGAAGGUUUUCGGAUUGUAAACUAUUGUCGUUAGGGAAGAGAAAGGACAGUACCUAAGGAGGAAGCUCCGGCUAACUACGUG